rnacentral:rRNA from 1 species
CCUACGGGAGGCAGCAGUGAGGAAUAUUGGUCAAUGGGCUUACGCCUGAACCAGCCAAGUCGCGUGAGGGAAGACUGCCCUAUGGGUUGUAAACCUCUUUUGUCAGGGAGCAACGCCGGCUACGUGUAGCCGGACUGAGAGUACCUGAAGAAAAAGCAUCGGCUAACUCCGUGCCAGCAGCCGCGGUAAUACGUGGGAUGCGAGCGUUAUCCGGAUUGAUUGGGUUUAAAGGGUGCGUAGGCGGAAUGCCAAGUCAGCGGUAAAAUUGCGGGGCUCAACCUCGCUCCGCCGUUGAAACUGGCGUUCUUGAGUGGGCGAGAAGUAUGCGGAAUGCGUGGUGUAGCGGUGAAAUGCAUAGAUAUCACGCAGAACUCCGAUUGCGAAGGCAGCAUACCGGCGCCCAACUGACGCUGAAGCACGAAAGCGUGGGUAUCGAACAGGAUUAGAUACCCUAGUAGUC